rnacentral:lncRNA from 1 species
AUUAAAAAAAAUGAUAUUAUCGAACUAUCACACUGAAAUGGAUUUGCAAAAACAAUUAAUUUCAUAAAAAAUAAACAUGCAACCAAAAAUCAAACCAGGUUGUGAUUUGGUAAAGUUGAAAAAAAAAAACUAAAAAUUAGUGAAUAAAAUCAAUAAGUUCAAUAAAUGUUUGAUAACUUACAAAUUGGUAACCAGUUGGUUUUGUUCUUGAUUCUUUUGAUUAUGAAAAAUCCAAUUUCGUAAAGAACCGUUCGAAGAACCGAAACGAUCCAGUAACAAUGAAGAAAUUGAGGGAAGUUGCCGGUUCAAGUUCAAACAAG